rnacentral:rRNA from 1 species
UCAUGGCUCAGAACGACGCUGGCGGCAUGCCUAACACAUGCAAGUCGAACGAAGCCUUCGGGCUUAGUGGCGCACGGGUGCGUAACGCGUGGGAAUCUGCCCUUGGUUCGGAAUAACAGUUAGAAAUGACUGCUAAUACCGAAUGAUGUCUUCGGACCAAAGAUUUAUCGCCCAAGGAUGAGCCCGCGUCGGAUUAGCUAGUUGGUGAGGUAAAGGCUCACCAAGGCGACGAUCCGUAGCUGGUCUGAGAGGAUGAUCAGCCACACUGGGACUGAGACACGGCCCAGACUCCUACGGGAGGCAGCAGUGGGGAAUAUUGGACAAUGGGCGAAAGCCUGAUCCAGCAAUGCCGCGUGAGUGAUGAAGGCCUUAGGGUUGUAAAGCUCUUUUACCCGGGAUGAUAAUGACAGUACCGGGAGAAUAAGCCCCGGCUAACUCCGUG